GUUUGUUCUGAAUCACAGCUUGGGCAGAGUGAACCCAAUUACCUGUGGAUGGCUGUUUCCCAGGGCUCCUCCCCCAACCCCAGGUCCAGAGGCCAGGUGAGCAGAGAAGGGCAGGUGGGCAUGCUUAAGACCCUCUAAGAGUGUGUGGUAGUCCACAGUGAACCUUCAGAUAGAGUGAAAGGUAUUCUCCAGGUUAUCAGAGAUUUUUGAAAUAAGUCCUGAAAUGGGAGAGAGACUGGGCGAAGAAAGAGGGAAAAUGCAGGAAGACAGAGCAACCUGCGUGCACAGAAAUGCAUAAUUAAGUCCCCUACAUACGAACCUUCAAGUUGUGAACUUUCAAAGAUGAGAAUGUGUAUCAGGUUCCAGCAUGGAGCCAGCACCUGCUCCAUCCACGUCAGGUGUGAGGGCCACUGCAGCUGGUCCUCCGUCUCCUGCUGCUGACGACCCUUCAGCUCUACCAUCUCCCACCUCCUCUCCCUCCACCAGUCAGUAACUCUUCUUGUCUGUUCACUCGAUGCCAGCCCCUGUGUGCCUGCCAUUGUACUACUAGGUACUGUACUGUAAGAUUAAAAAUGUUUUAUUUUUUGUCUUUUUUUUUAUGUAUUGCUUGUGUUAAAAGAACUAUAGAUCACUACAGUACCAUAUAGCUGAUUAUGUUACUUAUAGUUGGGUACCUAGGCUAACUUUGUUGGACGUAUGAACAAAUUAGAUUUAGCAAACACGCUCUUGGAAUGGAACUCAUUUGUAUGUAAGGGACUCACUGUAUGUAAAAAGGCAGGACUGCUUUGAGCUGCAAUUUAAAAGCAUUUUCAAAAUAGAGUUAACCACCAAAUCUCAAAAUCAAACUAAAAUGUCUUAAGACUGGCCCAAGGCAAGAUGAAAGAAUCACAGCAAAUUUACAGAGGUUCCAGACACUGCCUCAAACUGAUUCAUCAGAGCCAGCCCUCCAGCUGCCCCCUGACUCUCUGUGAUGUCACUCAAGCUCUCUUCUCCCGAGUCCAGGGUGCAGCCUGGCACAUCAUGUGACAA